AACGGAGGCGCUCAAAGGUUCCCUCAGAAUGGUUGGAAAUCAUUCAUAGAGUGUAAAGGCAUAAGGGAGCUUGACUGCGAGACCUACAAGUCGAGCAGGGUCGAAAGACGGACUUAGUGAUCCGGUGGUUCCGCAUGGAAGGGCCAUCGCUCAACGGAUAAAAGCUACCCCGGGGAUAACAGGCUUAUCUCCCCCAAGAGUUCACAUCGACGGGGAGGUUUGGCACCUCGAUGUCGGCUCAUCGCAUCCUGGGGCUGUAGUCGGUCCCAAGGGUUGGGCUGUUCGCCCAUUAAAGCGGUACGCGAGCUGGGUUCAGAACGUCGUGAGACAGUUCGGUCCCUAUCCGUCGUGGGCGUAGGAAAUUUGAGAGGAGCUGUCCUUAGUACGAGAGGACCGGGAUGGACAUACCUCUGGUGUACCAGUUGUCGUGCCAACGGCAUAGCUGGGUAGCUAUGUAUGGACGGGAUAAGUGCUGAAAGCAUCUAAGCAUGAAGCCCCCCUCAAGAUGAGAUUUCCCAACUUCGGUUAUAAGAUCCCUCAGAGAUGAUGAGGUUAAUAGGUUCGAGGUGGAAGCGUGGUGACACGUGGAGCUGACGAAUACUAAUCGAUCGAAGACUUAAUCAAUUU
rnacentral:rRNA from 3 species